CGAACGGGUGAGUAACGCGUGAGGAACCUGCCUCAAAGAGGGGGACAACAGUUGGAAACGACUGCUAAUACCGCAUAAGCCCACGGUGCCGCAUGGCACAGAGGGAAAAGGAGCAAUCCGCUUUGAGAUGGCCUCGCGUCCGAUUAGCUAGUUGGUGAGGUAACGGCCCACCAAGGCAACGAUCGGUAGCCGGACUGAGAGGUCGAACGGCCACAUUGGGACUGAGACACGGCCCAGACUCCUACGGGAGGCAGCAUG
rnacentral:rRNA from 1 species